CACAAAUUUGUUUCUUAAGAAUCAAGACCAAUCACAUGAAUAUCUUCUUAAUUAACUCAUCAGAAUUUGCUUAGAGUCAAUGUGAGUAAAAUACUCCUUCUAUUCAAGCGCUUUCAUGUAGAAAGUUUCGUUUGAAUACGGCACAGAAUAGAAAUAUUUAUUUUGAAUUUUUCAAAAUAUCGGGGAUUUACUCGCACGCACACGCCAGGUGUAUGCUUGGCUAUAUGUAGCCCGAUGCACGUGUAAACCAUGCCACUGCAAUACUGGGAGUACUUUGACUUGUAGAAUCGAUUUCCGGUUUUUCCAAACCCUUAGGGCCAAAAUGUAAACAGCGCUUUGUUUUGAGAACGUUUCACGGGCCGCGCUAAAAAUAUAAAUACUAUUUAUUUAUUUAUUUCUGUAAGUACCGAAAUAAAAGGUGAAAAUCUGAAGACACAAAUUUGAAAAUAACACUCUAAAUGUUUUGGAUUCCAGUUCGAAUAAGACUAUUACGAAAAAGAUAUGUCCAAAGGGGCCAAAGUUAUGUUCGGCGAAAUGUAUGGCUAUUUUACAUUGGGUUAGGG